rnacentral:rRNA from 1 species
GAGUGGAAGAGCCGUGAGGCUUGGAGCGGACCGGUACUAAUCAGUCGAGGACUUGACCA